GCUACACAUGCAAGUCGAGCGGAUGAUGGGAGCUUGCUCCCUGAUUUAGCGGCGGACGGGUGAGUAAUGCCUAGGAAUCUGCCUGGUAGUGGGGGAUAACGUCCGGAAACGGGCGCUAAUACCGCAUACGUCCUACGGGAGAAAGCAGGGGACCUUCGGGCCUUGCGCUAUCAGAUGAGCCUAGGUCGGAUUAGCUAGUUGGUGAGGUAAUGGCUCACCAAGGCGACGAUCCGUAACUGGUCUGAGAGGAUGAUCAGUCACACUGGAACUGAGACACGGUCCAGACUCCUACGGGAGGCAGCAGUGGGGAAUAUUGGACAAUGGGCGAAAGCCUGAUCCAGCCAUGCCGCGUGUGUGAAGAAGGUCUUCGGAUUGUAAAGCACUUUAAGUUGGGAGGAAGGGCAUUAACCUAAUACGUUAGUGUUUUGACGUUACCGACAGAAUAAGCACCGGCUAACUUCGUGCCANCAGCCGCGGUAAUACAAAGGGUGCAAGCGUUAAUCGGAAUUACUGGGCGUAAAGCGCGCGUAGGUGGUUC
rnacentral:rRNA from 1 species